GUGUAUUCUGUGCACCGUAUUUAUUUUUCUACAUACAUACUUCCCAACCCAGUUGCAACAUAGAGGACAGUUCGGGUCGUUGGUUCGGGGCUAGUGCUACAAUUAUAUACUGACGUAAAAGAUACUCUCUGGAACAAAUCGGAAAUGAUGAAACUUGUCUGACAAAUGAACCUGUAAGAUAUUGGAACAAAUCUCGACAAACAUAUGAUUACGGCCUAAAAGCCAACUGUCAAAAUCCACUUUGAAUGGAAAUUCCGGACAAACCGUUACACGCUAAUCACAGAUGUUGGUAGUAAAUGAAAGAGAAAAGUUUUCUCUUUCAUAAACUGUUGUCAACUGUGUUCGACUAGUAACGGUUUGUUUGGAAUUUCCAUUCAAAGUAGAUUUUGACAGUUGGCUUUUAGGCCGUAAUCAUAUGU